rnacentral:misc_RNA from 1 species
GUGAAUCAUCAAAUUUUUGAACGCAAAUUGCACUCCCUGGUAUUCCGGGGAGUAUGCCUGUUUGAGGGUCGUUAGACGAAAGAUCGCAGCAUCGCUCUUUUUUUCGUGGGUGUUUGCGUCGGAAUUGAGCCGUCUUUCAAAUGCUAAUUCAUGCUAAAGUGGCUUAAAAUUCACCUAUCCCGUACGAUUAAAGCGUAUUUAAGAUUAUUUUUGAUUC